CUCGUCGUGGCCGAGUGGUUAAGGCGAUAGACUUGAAAUCUGUUGGGCUCUGCCCGCAAAGGUUCGAAUCCUGUCAGCGACG
rnacentral:tRNA from 1 species